rnacentral:lncRNA from 1 species
CUUGUACACGUUCCACACUCUGAGCAGCGCUGCUUGCAUUUGCCCUCUCAUGACUAACUCUCAGCCCCUCCAGCUUUGCUCUGCCCUCUGAAAUGACCUGCCUCCUCUUCUAUUUCUCCUUCAAAGCCCAGCUGGGGCCACUUCCUGGAGGACGCCUUCCCUGACUUCCAAGGCAAGGCCCUUGGUGCCCUCCUCCGAGUAUUAGCCCCUUAGAUUUUUAUCAUGUCUAAUUGCUGCACUCACAUCUAUCUGCCUUUUGGAUUACAAGCCCCUGAGGACAACUUCUCCAGUUCCUACUUGCAGUAGGUCCAGGAAAAAAGACCAUGGGAAAACGAAAGAGUGCUGUUGGAGAGUGAAAAGUCUCAAACAAAACUAAACCACAAGUCUUCCUAGGAAACUCUCUCUGCAGAGGCAGCACUUAAUUCUAGAGAAGACCUUUGCCUCCAUGUCAUUAGUCAAGAAGGUUCCAGAUGGGUUCCCGAGCCAGCAAUGUUUUG